CAUCCACGGGAAGGUCUCUUUGUUAUGGCUAUGUUAACUUCAGUUCUCUCGAGGAUGCACAUUAUGCAAUGGAGAAGAUGAAUCACAGUUCGAUUCAUGGGAAAAUGAUUAGGGUGGCAUGGUCACUUCGAGAUCCUGAUGCAAGAAAGAGUGGAGUUGGAAACGUGUUUGUCAAGAAUCUAAGUGAAUCAAUCGAUAGUGUGGGGUUGCAAGAGUUGUUUCAGAGGUUUGGGAAUGUAAUAUCCUGCAAAG